UACGGAGGGUGCGAGCGUUGUCCGGAAUCAUUGGGCGUAAAGGGCGCGUAGGUGGCGGGACAAGCGUGCGGUGAAAGCCUGGGGCUCAACCCCGGGUCGGCCGUGCGAACUGUUUUGCUUGAGCACUGUAGAGGCAGGCGGAAUUCCGGGUGUAGCGGUGAAAUGCGCAGAUAUCAGGAGGAACACCAAUGGCGAAGGCAGCUCGCUGGGACGUGACUGACGCUGAGACGCGAAAGCGUGGGGAGCAAACAGG
rnacentral:rRNA from 1 species